GAUGAAGAACGUAGCGAAAUGCGAUACUUGGGGUGAAUUGCAGAAUCCCGUGAACCAUCGAGUCUUUGAACGCAAGUUGCGCCCGAAGCCAUUAGGCCGAGGGCACGCCUGCCUGGGCGUCACACGUCGUUGCCCCCCCAUCUACUCCUUCGGGAUUGCGGGGGGCGGAUGUUGGCCUCCCGUGCGCCUCGUCGCGCGGUUGGCAUAAAUGCCAAGUCCUCGGCGACGCACGCCACGACAAUCGGUGGUUGCGAAACCUCGGUUGCCCGUCGUGUGCGGUCGUCGCGCAUCGAGGGCUCGAAAAAAUUGUCGGGCUCCGGCUCGGCUUUCAACGCGACCCCAGGUCAGGCGGGGUUACCCGCUGAAUUUAAGCAUAUCAAUAAGCGGAGGA
rnacentral:misc_RNA from 1 species